rnacentral:rRNA from 1 species
AACGAACGCUGGCGGUAUGCUUUACACAUGCAAGUCGAACGAACUUAGGCCUAGCUUGCUAGGAACGGUUAGUGGCAAACGGGUGAGUAACGCGUGGGAACCUGCCUUAUAGUACGGAAUAGUCCCGGGAAACUGGGUUUAAUACCGUAUACGCUCUUCGGAGGAAAGAUUUAUCGCUAUAAGAUGGGCCCGCGUUAGAUUAGCUUGUUGGUGAGGUAAUGGCUCACCAAGGCAACGAUCUAUAGCUGGUUUGAGAGGACGAUCAGCCACACUGGAACUGGGACACGGUCCAG